GGAGGUGACUCUCUCAGGAGGUUGAAUAGGGUUAGAAAGACGGCAUGACUAUAUCUCUAAUGUAGACCUAAAGUGCUUCCUAGAGCUAGGGACCAGGAUUCUAAAUGAGACCUGAGGGAAUGGAGCUGUUGUUGACAAGAGCUGUUAGACAAACAGGACAUGGAGGAGGAGUGGUCAUGCAUACCUCAAUGGGACAAAGUAUCUCCUCUGAGACUUCAGAAAAUCCUUUUCUUCUGGAGCCACUCUGUUCUGGAUUACCCUGAGAUUUUAAUGAGAUAAAGUCUAGAGAUGUAUAUAACUUUUCUGCAUCAUUUUGGAAUUUUAAUGAGAUGAAACGAGACCCAGAGACACCUGUUCUAGACCACUUUGGGAUCUUAAUGAGGAUGCAAACAGGUUGAAGACAAGAGCUCUCUUUAAUGGAACCUGAACAGUGCCUAACUCCUGUAGAUAUUCACUGAAUGUUAAAUAACAACAGUGAUCAUGUAAUAAUGAUGCCCAAUUCACUUGGGAGAGAAUACCAAAUAGCUUGGAAUUUUCCUGUUACUGCCAGCAUGGCCUGAGAGCAUCCUGAGAGAGGUCAAAAGUCCGUCUGACUCACCUGUGCUGAGUGACUUGAAUGCCAUCUAAUCUAACUUCAAGAUCAUCAGGAUACUUGCCAACAAGGUCACAGUGGACUCCAUGGAGCAACUGCCCUCAGGAGGCAACAGGUCACAGUGUUUGGACACCGCAUGAACAUGCCAAUUUCCUGUGUUGUAAUAUUUUUAUGCACUUUAAGAAGACCACCAGAAACAGCAGAGUGAGUGAAUGACUGAGGCGCAUAUUGGACAAAAAUCACUUAUCCAAGACCACGUUACUACAACCCCAGGGCACAGAAGCUAAGUCUUCCUAUUGUACUGAACUCAGUUGACUGGAAUUUGUUCAGGAAAGCAUGAAGUCAAAUGGAAGCUAGUCCGUGACUGGAUUCAUCUUUUGGUAAAAAACGAAGAGGAGACCCCAUAUCCUGGAGGUUCUUGCUUAACCCUGUCCCUAAUAAGACCUAACUUUAUGAGUCUUCUCCUUAGAGGCAGUCCUAGGGUAAGAGUGAUUAUUCCUGUGAGCCUUGUAGGUACUUUCGAAUCAAGGAAAUUAGUAGUUGAUUGCUAAUUAAUUCAGUAUUUAAUGAAUUUAAGUACCUAGGCAAUGAGGCCACAAUAGCAAAUAAGACACAGACCUGUUUUCAAAAAGUAGCCUGUAAAUAAGAUAUUUUUUUCUGCCAUGGUGGCAAAGGCAUGACUAUGGUGAUGAACAUUCAUAGGCUCACCUUCUAGCUCUGUUGUAUGUUAACUGUGUGAACUUGGGUCAAGUUAUGAAAACUCUAAGAACUCUCAAAACUCCUGAUCUGUUUUAACAUGAAAGUAAAGAUAUCUAAUUGAAUUGUUGUGAAACUUAAAUGUAAUGUGACAUCCAAAGAAUGUAGCCCAAAGUUGGAUUUCAGUAAGUGAUAAAUAGAAGUAUUUAAACAUGGGUAUGGUAUGUUCUGUAACAGAAGAAUGUCUAUGUGCUGGGGAUACCUAGAGACAGUGAAAAUUCUGUCUGGCCUGCGAAUUAU
rnacentral:lncRNA from 1 species